UGAGUAAUGCGUGACCAACCUGCCCCAUGCUCCAGAAUAGCUCUUGGAAACGGGUGGUAAUGCUGGAUGCUCCAACUUGACGCAUGUCUUGUUGGGAAAGUGUUUAGUGGCAUGGGAUGGGGUCGCGUCCUAUCAGCUUGUAGGCGGGGUAAUGGCCCACCUAGGCUUCGACGGGUAGCCGGCCUGAGAGGGCGGACGGCCACAUUGGGACUGAGAUACGGCCCAGACUCCUACGGGAGGCAGCAGCC
rnacentral:rRNA from 1 species